UACAGAGGGUGCAAGCGUUGUUCGGAAUUAUUGGGCGUAAAGCGCACGUAGGCGGCUUCUUAAGUCAGGGGUGAAAUCCUGGAGCUCAACUCCAGAACUGCCUUUGAUACUGAGAGGCUUGAGUCCGGGAGAGGUGAGUGGAACUGCGAGUGUAGAGGUGAAAUUCGUAGAUAUUCGCAAGAACACCAGUGGCGAAGGCGGCUCACUGGCCCGGUACUGACGCUGAGGUGCGAAAGCGUGGGGAGCAAACAGG
rnacentral:rRNA from 1 species